rnacentral:snoRNA from 1 species
CUACAUGAUGAUAAAGGGCCAUAGCGCCUGAAUUCAAACCCAGCUCUUCGAAUGCCUCAAUUAAACGCAGAGGUCAUACUGAGAUAAGAAACACAAUCUGAUCC